GCCCUCGUAGCUCAAUGGACAGAGCGAGACUCUUCUAAAGUCAAGAUAUAGGUUCGAUUCCUGUCGAGGGCA
rnacentral:tRNA from 3 species